GACGAACGCUGGCGGCGUGCUUAACACAUGCAAGUCGAACGGAAAGGCCCUGCUUGCAGGGUACUCGAGUGGCGAACGGGUGAGUAACACGUGGGUGAUCUGCCCUGCACUUCGGGAUAAGCCUGGGAAACUGGGUCUAAUACCGGACAGGAGCCAUUUUUAGUGUGAUGGUUGGAAAGUUUUUUCGGUGUAGGUUGAGCUCGCGGCCUAUCAGCUUGUUGGUGGGGUAAUGGCCUACCAAGGCGGCGACGGGUAGCCGGCCUGAGAGGGUGGACGGCCACCUUGGGACUGAGAGACGGCCCAGACGCCGACGGGAGGCAGAAGUGGGGAAUAUUGCACAAUGGGCGCAGGCCGGAUGCAGCGACGCCGCGGGGGGGAUGACGGCCUUCGGGUUGUAAACUCCUUUCGCUAGGGACGAAGCUUUUUGUGACGGUACCUAGAUAAGAAGCACCGGCUAACUACGUG
rnacentral:rRNA from 1 species